CACCUGGGCAGAAGUUACCUAGGACACUAAGGAAUUAAAUGGAGGGCAUACCCCAGAGAUGGAAGACAAUGUAUAAACACAUGGAAGAAUAAGACAGAAUGGUGUGUUUAGAGAAUUAUAAGUAGGUCACUUUUCCAACAAAAUAAGUUGUAAAAAAAAUUAGAAUGGAUAAUAAUACAGAUUAAAACAUGAACUUGUUGAGUGAAUGGCACCCCCAAAACAGUCUGUGAAAUUCCAAAAAUCAGACAGUAAUCUAUUUCAUUUAUUUAUUUGCAAAUAUUCAAGGAUUUUCUGUGAUGAAAGGCAUGGGACUUCAGUGAAGAAGGCACAAUGCAGAGCAAGACAAGCAACAUCCUUUUCCGCAUCCUUUUCCGCAUUGAUUUAGUUCCCAGGAGGUAGAAACAGACAAGACAAAGAACAGAUGCUAAUGUUGUUCAGCUGUGUCGCUGUUGGGAGGCUGCCCUCACACACUUGUAUUUGGAACUCAUGGGGAUACCUGUCGCUUGGUUUUGUUGCAUCAUUGCUGAUGUUAUGAAAAUAUUGGAUCAGUGAAUACCAAAUCUGUAACCCUGAUACUCCCAUGUCUCAAAAGUUCUCAUUCUUCUCCUUCCUGCUGCCACAUGACAAAGGAUGUGUUUGACUCCCCUUUCAUCAUGAUUGCAAGUUUCCUGAGGCUUCCCAAGCCAUGCUGAACUAGCUGAGAAACACACUGACCACAAAGCCCUGGAUGAUUUCCAAAGCUGUAUGAGAUGAAGAAAAGAAAUGCCAUGGAGAAAUAAGCCAGCAGUCAAAAGAUGCUGCUGUCCACAACUUAAAUGAGAAUUACAUCAAGAAACCCAACUUAAGCCAGCUAGGUGUGCCAAGGGACUGAGACAACUGCCACCAGGCUACACUAAUCCCAAGUCCUGAGAAGAGUCUCAAGAGGGAAGAGAGAACAGAUUCCUUUGAGCACAUUAGAUUGAAACAUUCUAAAUAUAUAAUCAGGUGGUAAGAUUGCUUCAGAAAUAUGCUGACAAUGCAUGAAAAAUUAACAUCCAAACUUAUUUUGCAUUAGUCAGGCCCAUUAGUUGUGCCACAAAAGGAAAAAACAAGUUCAUAUGUUCCUAUUAGUAAGGGAAACUGAAUGCUUAAACUUCUAUCUUACAAAUUAAAUUUUUUUCUGUUUAUUCUUGUGUUGACUCUUAGAGAUUCAAACUUAAAUGACUGUACUCUGCAGCCUCCUAUUGUUUGUUUCCUCGCUCUUCUAUCUGAUACCUAUUCCCACGUUCAUUUUCUCAAAAUACAAUUUUGAUAAUAACAUUUUCUCUGUCUUCAUUAUCUUAGCAUUUCAGAUCUUCUACUCUGUUCUCUGACUCUCACCACGUUUGCUUCUAUUCACAAGUAUGCCUCAGCCAUGGAAAUGGGCCACUCCUAGUUCAAGCUUCUUGCA
rnacentral:lncRNA from 1 species